UGUUCAAUCUCAGUCCCAUCCUCUCUACCGUGCUCGAUCGUCGACGAUGAAUUAACUACACCGAUAUUGCUACAGUUCUUGGCUUGGGCCGGAGCAGCCGCCGGUGAAACCGGCCAGGCCCAACUUGCCCAUGCAUUUAGCGCACUGUCUUCUUCGCAGAUGCAGGGUGCAACUUAAUUACAGAAUUAUUCUAAUUAAUUCUGUGAUAGACAGCCAUAAUCAAGAAUCAAGAUAAAUUUGAUACUUGUUGAUCAACUGGUUUUGUGGCAUUCUUUCUCCUUAGCAAUUACUGGUAGUGAUCUGAGACCCAGCUGUAGGGUUGGGCCACCUGCUGCUUAAUUUAUUUUGUCAUUACUCCUCUCGCCUCUUCCUCCAUCCCCCCCUCCUUUAUUGCUAUUUAUCUUCCCCCUUCCAAACACCAACACCAUGUACUAUCUAUCCAUCUCUCCCCCUCUCCCCCUCUGCAACAGGUAAUCAUUUCACCUAUCAUCACACCUCUCUCUCUCUCUCUCUCUCUCUCUCUCUCUUUCUCUCACACAGGUUUAACCUCUCUAUAUUCUCUCCGGAUUGCAAGCCGAGUCUUCAGGGAGAGAAAAAAAUGGAAGUAGUAGAAGAAAGAAGAAGAAAAUGAACUGAGAGCUAGGAAGCUUUGCCUUUGAGGGGAAUGUUGUCUGGCUCGAGGCAUCUCUGUGGCCUCUGAAAUCUUACACCUUUCGGAUCUCGGACCAGGCUUCAUUCCCCCCAAUAGUUGCUUCCAUACUGCUCCCUCAAGAUAUGCCGUGUAAUAACUAGUUAACUCAGGUUUGUUAGAUGAAUAAAUCUACUGUGCGUGGAUAUGAUUCAUCGCUUUCCUUCUUUUUGGAUUUUGUUUAGUCAGUUGGUUUGAUGAUAAUUAUUAAUUUUUCUUGGUUUUCAAGAUUGGGUUGGAUUUAUAUAUAGGAUGAAGGGGAAACUACUGAUUGGUGUAAUGAUGGUGGAUCUUGACCAACGUAUCCUUUUUGUUGUUCUUCUUCUUCUCUGACAGGAUUGUUGGAGUGGAAAAAGGUUUCAUCAUUACCUUGUCAUUAGAUUCUCAAGGGAUCUUGCCUUACCUUUCUCUUCUUUUUUUUCCCCCUUCUCUCUUCCUUCCACAAUUUAAUUUAUUAAUCUUUGCAGUGGGUGAAGUAAACAUAUCUUAAUUAAGAUGGAACACUUAGAUCUCCAUGCUCUUUCUACUAAACUGCUACUUUACUUCAUUUUUUUUAAAGCUUACUCUUUUCCUCUUCUUAAAAUUUUGUUCUGCCUUUCCUAGCUUCCUACCCUUUCUAUUUUGAUUCGAGUGCGUAUAUUUUCCUUUUUCUUUUUCUUUUAAAACUCAAGCUUAUGAGCAGAUCUUGAGCAUAUUGUAGCUUUUUACAGUUCUAGCUGGGAAAACAAGUGCAGUGCUCGCCUUUACUUUUAUUGAAUUUCCGUGUAUUUUUCUUCCAAGAUAUUAACUAACUUAGCUUGUACUCUCUUUGUUUGUGCCUUUUAAACAAAGCUUGAAAAGAUAAUUAAGCCUUUCCAUGCAUGAGCUCUUUGAUGAUGACUAGAAUCAUUAUUUUCACUCAUUGAUAAGUAUUGUAAUAUGCUUAUUUCUUACCCUGCAACAAGAAGACUUGCCAUGCAUCAUAUAUCUUAAUCGCUUCACUAUAUUUUUCACUAUCUAGAUUGCAUUCUACACAAUCUUGUAAGAUUUUUUUGUGCCUGUAAAAUUGUCUAAAUAUUGCAGGCAGAACUGAUGGAUCCAUCCUGUAAUCAAGCUUAACAGUCAACAUUAGUGGUACAUGCAUCACAGCAGAUAGUGUCAAUCCCUGAUCACACCGUUUUGAAGAAUCAUUAUGAAAGAUUAACACAGCUGCAUGCAUGUUUCUUUAAAUUUUUAGCACUAUUUUCGGACAAACUUCGAUUGUUUGUUGCAUCUGAUGAAGGGUUGUGAAACAAUAGAUGAAAAAUGGUAAGCUUCAGCAAUCAGAUCACUUUAGUCACAGACUCCUCUUGUUCUCUUGUCAUAUCGUGUAUCUCUUUGCAAUCACUCAAUAACACUUUAAUAUUAUAUUUGUUCGGAA